AAGGCUUUGCAGUCAUACAACAGAGAAUUGCUCGUUAUAAAGCAUGUAGCAACGUUUCAAAAGGCCAAACGCUCCACUCGUGCUGUGCUUUGGGUUUUUAUUAACUUGUUCUUCCUUAUUUAUGCUGCGUAGAGGAAUGAGAGAGGAAGACGUUGGCCUCUGGUGCCUACUGUCACAGCCUCUGGUCUUGCUGUGCUCUUGUGAUGGAUUCCCUGCUUCCUGCACUCCUGAGCCGCAGGUGCCACAUCAGAUAGUAGCUCAGAGCAACGUCCCAGCUCUCUGCUCUUCUCAGCACACCUCCGAGGAUCGCGGGCAGCCAGGGAUUAUGUGGAAGCGGAGGAGGAAAACGAGGAGGAAAAGAAGCAAGAGGAGGAGCUUUAGGCUUAAGAGCGAGGCGGUUCGCGGCAGCGUUUUGCUGGGAGUGUUGCGCUCCUCCCUCGGCCAUCCCCGGACAGUGUCGCCGACGGGGGAGCAAUGUCUGGCGACCGCGGGCUAAGCGCGACGGGCGGAGACUCGACAAGAUGGCGGCAGCUGUGCAGAGAGGUGAAGCCUGCUGAGGGUGCAUCAAGGGAUAAUUGGGGAUUUAUCAUAACAGUAAACUGGAACUAAGCUUCAACCUUUUGUGUGGAAAUGUUCCUUAAAAGAAGAAGCUGCAAUACUGAAAGUAGUGCUUGAUGACAUGAGACCAUGCCUCUCAUAGAAGUCAAAUAAAUUAAAAACGUUAUGAAAUGCGAA